UCUCCGUUGGUGAACCAGCGGAGGGAUCAUUACAGGAUCGAAAGACUCCUAUAACCCCUGUGAACUUACUACAAAUACGUUGCUUCGGCGGGUGCCCCGGGUCUCCCGGGGCGUUCAGCCCGCUGGCAGCCUUCAAAUUCUGUUUCUUUGCGUUGGCAUCUCGAGUAUACAAAAAUAAGUUAAAACUUUCAACAACGGAUCUCUUGGUUCUG
rnacentral:misc_RNA from 1 species